rnacentral:rRNA from 1 species
GGCGAACGGGUGAGUAACACGUGGGCAAUCUGCCCUGCACUCUGGGACAAGCCCUGGAAACGGGGUCUAAUACCGGAUACUGACCCGCUUGGGCAUCCAAGCGGUUCGAAAGCUCCGGCGGUGCAGGAUGAGCCCGCGGCCUAUCAGCUUGUUGGUGAGGUAAUGGCUCACCAAGGCGACGACGGGUAGCCGGCCUGAGAGGGCGACCGGCCACACUGGGACUGAGACACGGCCCAGACUCCUACGGGAGGCAGCAGUGGGGAAUAUUGCACAAUGGGCGAAAGCCUGAUGCAGCGACGCCGCGUGAGGGAUGACGGCCUUCGGGUUGUAAACCUCUUUCAGCAGGGAAGAAGCGAAAGUGACGGUACCUGCAGAAGAAGCGCCGGCUAACUACGUGCCAGCAGCCGCGGUAAUACGUAGGGCGCGAGCGUUGUCCGGAAUUAUUGGGCGUAAAGAGCUCGUAAGCGGCUUGUCACGUCGGUUGUGAAAGCCCGGGGCUUAACCCCGGGUCUGCAGUCGAUACGGGCAGGCUAGAGUUCGGUA